rnacentral:rRNA from 1 species
AUUGAACGCUGGCGGCAGGCCUAACACAUGCAAGUCGAACGGUAGCACAGAGAGCUUGCUCUCGGGUGACGAGUGGCGGACGGGUGAGUAAUGUCUGGGAAACUGCCUGAUGGAGGGGGAUAACUACUGGAAACGGUAGCUAAUACCGCAUAACGUCGCAAGACCAAAGAGGGGGACCUUCGGGCCUCUUGCCAUCAGAUGUGCCCAGAUGGGAUUAGCUAGUAGGUGGGGUAACGGCUCACCUAGGCGACAAUCCCUAGCUGGUCUGAGAGGAUGACCAGCCACACUGGAACUGAGACACGGUCCAGACUCCUACGGGAGGCAGCAGUGGGGAAUAUUGCACAAUGGGCGCAAGCCUGAUGCAGCCAUGCCGCGUGUAUGAAGAAGGUCUUCGGAUUGUAAAGCACUUUAAGUUGGGAGGAAGGGCAGUAAGUUAAUACCUUGCUGUUUUGACGUUACCAACAGAAUAAGCACCGGCUAACUUCGUGCCAG